GGGGCAUUAGCUCAGCCGGGAGAGCGCUUGCAUGGCAUGCAAGAGGUCAGCGGUUCGAACCCGCUAUGCUCCA
rnacentral:tRNA from 9 species